GUAAACGGCGGCCGUAACUAUAACGGUCCUAAGGUAGCGAAAUUCCUUGUCGGGUAAGUUCCGACCUGCACGAAUGGCAUAAUGAUGGCCAGGCUGUCUCCACCCGAGACUCAGUGAAAUUGAAAUCGCCGUGAAGAUGCGGUGUACCCGCGGCUAGACGGAAAGACCCCGUGAACCUUUACUAUAGCUUGACACUGAACAUUGAAUUUUGAUGUGUAGGAUAGGUGGGAGACUAUGAAGUAGUCACGCCAGUGAUUAUGGAGUCGUCCUUGAAAUACCACCCUUUAACGUUUGAUGUUCUAACGAAGAUUACGAAACGUGGUCUCGGACAGUGUCUGGUGGGUAGUUUGACUGGGGCGGUCUCCUCCCAAAGAGUAACGGAGGAGCACGAAGGUUUGCUAAUGACGGUCGGACAUCGUCAGGUUAGUGCAAUGGUAUAAGCAAGCUUAACUGCGAGACAGACAAGUCGAGCAGGUACGAAAGUAGGUCAUAGUGAUCCGGUGGUUCUGAAUGGAAGGGCCAUCGCUCAACGGAUAAAAGGUACUCCGGGGAUAACAGGCUGAUACCGCCCAAGAGUUCAUAUCGACGGCGGUGUUUGGCACCUCGAUGUCGGCUCAUCACAUCCUGGGGCUGAAGUAGGUCCCAAGGGUAUGGCUGUUCGCCAUUUAAAGUGGUACGCGAGCUGGGUUUAGAACGUCGUGAGACAGUUCGGUCCCUAUCUGCCGUGGGCGUUGGAGAAUUGAUUGGGGCUGCUCCUAGUACGAGAGGACCGGAGUGGACGCACCACUGGUGUUCCGGUUGUGUCGCCAGACGCAUUGCCGGGUAGCUAAGUGCGGAAGAGAUAAGUGCUGAAAGCAUCUAAGCACGAAACUUGCCAAGAGAUGAGUUCUCCCUGUCUUUAAGACAGUAAGGGUUGUUUAAGACUAAGACGUAGAUAGGUCUGGUGUGUAAGCGGUGCGAGCCGUUGAGCUAACAGAUACUAAUUGCCCGAGAGGCUUAACUAU
rnacentral:rRNA from 1 species